UACAGAGGGGGCAAGCGUUAUUCGGAUUUAUUGGGCGUAAAGGGCGUGUAGGCGGCUUGGUAAGUGGUAGGUGAAAUCCCUCGGCUUAACCGAGGAACUGCCUUCCAGACUGCUUUGCUUGAGGCCGGGAGAGGCGAGUGGAAUUCCCAGUGUAGCGGUGAAAUGCGUAGAUAUUGGGAGGAACACCAGUGGCGAAGGCGGCUCGCUGGACCGGUUCUGACGCUGAGGCGCGAAAGCGUGGGGAGCAAACGGG
rnacentral:rRNA from 1 species